CUAGUUUUAUUUUAGUUUUAUUUGACUUUACACUGGCAUAAAAGUAUACAAAUCAAUACAUAAAAUGAGUUGGGUAGAUGGCCUUAGCUUUAGACGUUCUUCAGAGGCAACAAAUCGGUACAAAAAGAUACAAAGAAGAAAAUAGUUAAAAAUACCAAGCCAUUGACUGGCAAGGAGGAACAGGUGACCAGCACCUCUACAAAGCCUUCCUACCACAAAGAAUGUCCCCUAAAUCUAAUAAUCAACCCACAGUUAAAAACUAAAAGAGUCUUAAAUGCUGAAAAGGAGACAUUAGACCUGACUGACAGUGGAAGCUGGUUCCACAUGGGGACAAUCUGCUGAAAAUAAAAAGACUUGUGGGGCUCUGUUUUACAACGAGGAACUAAUCAUACUUUCCCCAUAGACCUAACUUUUAUUCCUAUAAAGGCAUUAACGAUGUUUUUGUUUUUCACAGUUCGUUAGCGAUUAAUCCUGAAGGGGGAAUUGUAGCAAAUAACUGCACAAACGGCGGCACUGGUGACGAGGGUUUGGUUAAGUAUUGAGGUCCCAGGUAAUAUAUAUGGUGAACCUGAUCUUCACUAAGCUGAGGUGAUGCAUACCACCACGGACUGUGGUCAUGCACAAGAUUUGGUAAUGUAUCAGUUUAGUUAUUUGAGGUUAAACUUUACUGGUGAAGAACUACUUCUAAAAUGGAUCAACUUUUAAAUGGAGCAGCUACGCCAAUAAUUUGGAGAAUCAUGAACAAAUCUAAAUCUUAGUUUAUUGAUAAUUAGGAAGGAAAGUGAAACAUUCAACAAAACAAAACAAAAAGAAAAUGAUGAACUUGAAUCUCUCCACAAAACAAAUCUCUUCAGUAGUAAAGACAGUUUGUAACCAGCAGUACAAAUGACUAGUAUCAUUUGAUAUUCUACAAAAGCAAGAUGGAAAAACCGACCAACCACCGAGGAAAAACAACCUGAAAAACCAGUUUGCUUGAUUUCACAAAAAUGUGCUGGAACAAUCCAAACAAAUUGAAAAGCCUUCUUGGAGUAAUGUUGGUCCGCUCUUCUUGCAGUUUAUCACAAAGAUAUGUAAAUGCUAAUUUCAACUAAAUCUUCCCUCAGUUGAGCAGUUUCCUUUGGAGUGGUUACCACAACUGGACCUGUUUGGAUGAGCAUCGUUGGAGGAAACGGGGGAGAGUCGUCUCUUGUGCAGCUGUGACUACACCCUAGACGCCAGACCUGUUUGGAUGAUCGUUUCGAGAGUGUUGCAAAGAGUCAAAAAUAGUCGGCCAGACUGAGAAGAUGGCCUCUGGAGAUAACCUACACCCAAACUUGAGGCUAUAUACUGAAUGCUUACUGGACUAAGUGGCACCAUCAUCUACAGAAAGAAGGACUGUGUCCCAUGCUACAAGUUGAACUGAUGAAUUUGAUGUCCAGAUGUUGAUGCUAAGUGACACUGGACUGUGUUCCACCAACUGAAGUGGAGCAGUCUCUUUUGGAGUGGUGACUACAACCGAACCUGUUUGGAGGAGCAUCGAUGGAUAAUGCAGGAGUGAAGAUUAACAGAAUGCGUGAUUGAGAAGAUGCCUUUUGGAGAUGACACAAUACCAAUCUUGAGGCUUCAAUCGAUGCUUUUUGGACUGAGUUCCACCAACUGAAGGAUUGUGUCAAGUCCAGCUAGGCUGCAAGUUUAACUGUCGAGAUUGAGAAGAUGCCCUGUGAAGAUGACCUACACCCAAUCUUGAGGCUAAUCAUUGCCACUGUAUGAGGGAGGACGACGUCAAGUCUAGCCUGGUGUUUCUCUCCUUAACUCUUAAAGUGACUUCAGGAUGUUAGCGUAACCAAUGUUUUUUGGACUGCGUGCCACCAGCUGAAGGACUAUGCCAAAUUUAGCAAGGUGACUCUCCGCUAUAAUUUGAACUUACAAAAUGGAAGGUCCCCAUGGAAGAAAGACUGUGUCAAUCCUAGCCUGAUAAUGUUCAACUGCUAAACAGAUGUAUGGAUUUUGAGCUCACCAACGUUUUUUGGACUGGUGCCAACAGCUGAAAGACUAUGUCAAGUUUACCCAGUCUCUGCUACAAGUUGAUAUUGAUGCUACUUUUGUAACUUGUGCAUAUUAUUGGAAGAUUGCCAUUUGUUGACUGCAGAAAGACUACGUCAAGUCUCUCCGCUACAAGUACAACUCGCAUAGUGAUGUUGACGCUACAUUUGUAACUAAGACUUUUUUGUGGAAGGUCGCCAUAGAAGAAAGACUUUUGAGUUUAAUAGUCAGAUGAUGUUCAACUAAUACAAUUUGGACAAUGAUGGCGCCAUUUAUUUUACUAUAAUGAAGAGGAGAGGACCAUCUUAGUCCGCGCCGAACUUACAGCCAUGGCUAUGUAUGUGGCUGUUGCUAUGGCUUCAUGUGUUGCUGCUAGUACAUGUUGACAUGGCAACCAAGCCACAUCCACAGUCACUACCUUAGUAACGGCCUUAGAUUAGUGUUUACUCAAUUGGCUUUUCUUGACUCCAUCAAACUCUAAUUAUGCUACAAUUCAGCUCUGUAUAUUCACAUCAAUUGAUUUGAUUAAAAUUGGCACGCCUGGCCCUCAUGCCAAGCAGUGUUUGUUUAUCGUGGUAAAACAAAUAAAUUAAAUUCAAGUACAAUACCCAUUGGAUUUUGAUGGUGUCUGAGUAGUUAGGAGUACAACGUUAAAGAUAUGGUAUAGCUUUGGUAAAGAGAAGUAAAGGACUAAUACAUUUAUGAUACCAAAUUUGUCAGUGUAUGUGCGCCAUUUAUGAAGUGUUUUUCCUUGCCAAGACCGUUUUGGCUACAAAUAACGUAUAAGUGAAAUUGUCAACAGUAAAUACAGGGAGACUCGGAAGUGAAAUUGUCAACAGUAAAUACAGGGAGACUCGGAUUUUGUCAAACUUAAACUGCGUGUUACCACUUAAUUGCUCAGAAAUGCUAGAAAUCAUUGCAAGGAAAGCUCAGGGUUAGUCGAAUAAGCUUAUGUAUAAUAAAACAAAUUAUGAAGGUACAAUGUAGAAAAUCUUAUGACAAAAUUGUGAUGUUAAUUUUCAAGUAUCUAAGUAUUUUUAAGGAAAUAACUUCCACUUUGUAGGAUUGAAUCAAAGUUAUUCUAGGCUCAAUAAUUAUCAUAUUCAAAGAAGUGUGGGAAAGUGUACUUGAGCGCAAAAUAGACAAAUACAUGUUUUAUUGAAAUGUGCGUAUUAGUGAAACGCGCAUUGAGCAGGGCCCAAUUCACUUUGUGUGCUUAAGCAUGUAGCUCUAUGUAUAUAGGCCCAGACUCCUGCUGCAAUGUCAACACAAACCACGGCAAUGAUCACAUCACCAGGGCUCGGUUUCACAAAGAGCUUAAGAUAAGUUCAGUCUUAGUUACUGGGCAAUGUGUGAUGAUGCCAUAGUACAAAUCACCAUGGUGAUAUUGACAACUUGUCUUUAGUUGAAUUUUAGUGUUUUUGUGAAACCGAACUCUGUACUCCUCACCCUAACCCUGCACU